CAGCCGCCACGGUAAAACGAAGGGGGCUAGCGUUGCUCGGAAUGACUGGGCGUAAAGGGCGCGUAGGCGGCGAUCAAAGUCAGGCGUGAAAUUCCUGGGCUCAACCUGGGGGCUGCGCUUGAUACUUGGUUGCUUGAGUGGGGAAGAGGGUCGUGGAAUUCCCAGUGUAGAGGUGAAAUUCGUAGAUAUUGGGAAGAACACCGGUGGCGAAGGCGGCGACCUGGUCCUUGACUGACGCUGAGGCGCGAAAGCGUGGGGAGCAAACAGGAUUAGAUACCCCCGUAGUCCCUGUCUCUUAUAC
rnacentral:rRNA from 1 species